ACUGUGGCUCAGUUGGUAGAGCAGCUGAUUCGUAAUCAGCAGGUCGGCGGUUCGAGUCCGCCCA
rnacentral:tRNA from 1 species